GGUGUUUACAGCUGUUGCCAGUCGACCAAUAAUCUGCCGUCACACUUUCAAACCCCCGCAAAUCAAAAUGCAGUCUUUCCGAAAAAGGCCCCGUACCGCCGAGCGGAUGACCCGAGGAUGGAACCACGCCUGCCAAUGAGGACGAAGCGAGCACAGCCCGACCAGACAGUCCGCACCAAUCACAACAACUGACAAAGUCAGGAGGGAGCAGGAGA
rnacentral:lncRNA from 1 species